UACGGAGGGUGCGAGCGUUGUCCGGAAUCACUGGGCGUAAAGGGCGCGUAGGCGGCUCAUGAAGGCUGUGGUGAAAGUCCGGGGCUCAACCUCGGAUCGGCCGUGGCGACUCGUGGGCUGGAGCACUGUAGAGGCGGGUGGAAUUCCGGGUGUAGCGGUGGAAUGCGCAGAUAUCGGGAAGAACACCCGUGGCGAAGGCGGCUCUCUGGGACGGUACUGACGGCUGAGACGCGAAAGCGUGGGA
rnacentral:rRNA from 1 species